rnacentral:lncRNA from 1 species
UGUUUGCCCAGCGGGUGAGCAGUAAGCUUUGUGCUUAUUCCUGGCUCCUGGAGAUCUGCCUCCAGGGAAACGCCUUCAGGGUCACAGUGAAAUCUCUGUGGCAGCUAAUAAAGAAACCCGUCUGCCUCUGGAACCCUGACCUGGGGAGGUGCAGGCUGGACUCCUCCUCCUCUCUGUCGCCAGACGAAGCAGAAAGGUGAAAAAUUCGAAGGUGGUCACAGUGGAAGAGAGCCGCGUUACUCAACAACUGCCAGGCCAGGCAUCCUGUUGGAACAGCUGAGAGGAUUCCAAGAGGCCCAUUCUGCCCACUCUGCUCCUGCCCCUCCGGGACGCCUGGGAAUAGAAGACCCAGGCAGCCCGAGCCCUCGGUCCCUGGUAACAACAGCCCAGCUGCCUUC